GUGCUCUCUUCAGCAGCACAUAUACUAAAAUUGGAACGAUACAGAGAAGAUUAGCAUGGCCCCUGUGCAAGGAUGACAUGCAAAUUCAUGAAGCGCUCCAUAUUUUU
ensembl:snRNA U6 U6 spliceosomal RNA